rnacentral:misc_RNA from 1 species
GAUGAAGAACGCAGCGAAAUGCGAUAAGUAAUGUGAAUUGCAGAAUUCAGUGAAUCAUCGAAUCUUUGAACGCACCUUGCGCCCUUUGGCUAUUCUGAAGGGCAUGCCUGUUUGAGUAUCAUGAACACCUCAACUCUCAUGGUUCGCCAUGAUGAGCUUGGACUUUGGGGGUCUUGCUGGCCUACGGUCGGCUCCUCUCAAAUGAAUCAGCUUGCCAGUGUUUGGUAGAGUCGCAGGUGUGAUAACUAUCUACGCUUGUGGUUUUCUGCCGGAUAACCUUCAGUGAUGGAGGUUCGCUGGAGCUUAUAAAUGUCUCUCCCCAGUGAGGACAGCUUUUUGAACGUUUGAUCUCAAAUCAGGUAGGACUACCCGCUGAACUUAAGCAUAUCAAUAAGCGGAGGA